rnacentral:rRNA from 1 species
GAUGAACGCUGGCGGCGUGCCUAAUACAUGCAAGUCGAGCGGACAGACGAGUAGCUUGCUCCUCUGACGGUAACGGCGGACGGGAGAGUAGAAUGACCAGAACCUAACUAUAAGACUGGGAUAACUUCGUGGAACCGGAACUAAAACCGUAUAAUAUCUUCAACCUCAUGGUUCAAUAGUUAAAGAGGGUGUUGCUGUCACUGCUAGCUGUCUCCGCGCCGGAUUGGUUAGUUGGUAAGGUAACGGCUUACCAAGGCAAGGAUGCGUAGCCGACCGGAGAGCGUGAAGCGCCACAGUGGGACUGAGACGCGGUCCAGACUCUUACGGGAGGCCGAGGCAGGGAAUCUAGCGCGAUGGGCGAAAGACUGACGGAGCAACGCAGCGUGAGUGAUGAAGGUCUUCGGAUCGGAAGACUCUGUUAGUGGGGAAGAACAAAUGUGUAAGUAACGAUGCUCGUCUUGACGGUACCUAAACAAGAAGCCACGGCUAACUACGUG